GGGCCCGCACAAGCGGAGGAACAUGUGGUUUAAUUCGAUGAUACGCGAGGAACCUUACCCGGGCUCGAACGGCUGCAGAAUACGGGAGAAAUUUCGUAGCCAGCGAUGGCUGUAGUCGAGGUGCUGCAUGGUUGUCGUCAGCUCGUGCCGUGAGGUGUCGGCUUAAGUGCCAUAACGAGCGCAACCCUUACCGUCAGUUACCAGCAAGUAAAGUUGGGGACUCUGGCGGGACUGCCACCGUAAGGUGCGAGGAAGGUGGGGAUGACGUCAAAUCAGCACGGCCCUUACGUCCGGGGCGACACACGUGUUACAAUGGGUGGGACAAAAGGCAGCUACACAGCGAUGUGAUGCGAAUCUUCAAACCCACUCCCAGUUCGGAUCGGAGUCUGCAACCCGACUCCGUGAAGCUGGAUUCGCUAGUAAUCGCGCAUCAGCCAUGGCGCGGUGAAUACG
rnacentral:rRNA from 1 species